UUUUGUCAAUAAGAUCAUAUUUAUUAUGAUAAUUAUAUAAUAUAAACAUCCAUAUUCACAUAUCACAGUUAAAAUAGAUUUGAAAAGUUUAAAAAAUUAAAAUCACAUAAUAUAAGGAGUAUACAUCUAAUAUGUACAAGUUUGUAAGGACUAUUCCAUUAAAAUAGAGGGAGGAAGGUCGUAUGGAAAGUUCCAUUUCAGGACAUUGGGUUGUUGGUCAGUUGAGAUUGUAUAAAUAAAAAGGAGAUGUGGCAUUAUUUACAAUGAGACCAUUGUCCACCAUACACUAGGAUGUUGAUUUAUUGUAUGCAAAUUUCUUGAUUAGGACAUGGGUAGCAUUUUAUUUCAUAAAUCUCUUCCUAUCAACCCUCAUCUGUUUUAAUGGAAUAAUCCUAACUAUAAAAAAAAUGGAAUUAAUAUGUAUAUAUUUUGCCUAUAUUUUACCAUUUUGUUAUUUUAUAAAAUGUCUACUAAUGUUACCUUCCACUCAAAGUCAGCCUUUUACAAGAAACCUUAUAACAAAUUAUUAAGGAAAUUACUGACUCAAUUUAAACAGUACUACCUACUUCUUUCAUGCAAAAUUCUUUAAAUUUAUUUUUAAGCAUUUUGAUCUAUUUUGUUUUAUAACAAUUACAAUUAUCCCAAAUAUAAAUGCUAUUAAUAAUUCUGAAUUUCUUUAACUUUAAAUAAACUCUUUUCUUAAUAUUGGCUGACAGUCAAACACAAUUCACAACAUCAAAAUAGAAAAAAUAAUAAAAAAUUGCACUAAAAACUGAAAUAUAUUUCGUAUUAAAUACUAAAGCCCUUAUGGGGGAUCCUUAAAAUACAUCCAACAAUUCCAUACUCAAGAGUACAAUUUUGAUUCGUUACUUUCAAUCUGCAGUACGAUAAUCACACUUGAAAGUGGCCUGGGCUCUCUGUCAUAAAAUUUUACUCAGUACUCACGAGUAUAAAAAAUUACAGUAAAAUCACCAAUUUUCGAGUUUUCUGAUUGGUUGACUUUUUAAAAGUCAUGUGUACAAUAAUCAUGCUUGAAGCAUUAAUGACAGCAGGGCCAGAAAUCUUUUGCAACCACAAAAAUAUGAAUCAAUAAAAAAAAAGUAUGAUCGCUAAGUUACAUUAUUCAUUACAUUUAUCAAGUCUUUAUUCAUUACAUUUAUCAAUUCUUUAUUCAUUACAUUUAUCAAUUCUUUAUUCAUUACAUUUAUCAAUUCUUUAUUCAUUACAUUUAUCAAUGCUUUAUUCAUUACAUUUAUCAAAUUUCAUUACAUUUAUCAAUUCUUAAAAACAUGAUAUCAGGGAAAAUGUAGUCAAUCUGCUCAACAGAAGCCAUGUUUUUCCUGCAAAUCUGUACAAAAAUAUAUAUUUAGUAUUUACAGACUAAAUAUUGCACAAUAUAUAAUCACAUAAUACUUGACUAGGUUAGAUAUCUAUUCAAUACAAAAGACAAAAAAAAAAUAAAAAUCUUAAUAACUGUAAAUUCAGAAAACAUUGCAGAGAUUUCAUUAAUGUAAAUAAAGUUGGGUUGAAGUAUAUAAAUUUGGUGAGUAUAGCGAUAAUAAGACCUGACAUUCUUACAUCUAAUACAUAUAUCUGUCUGCCUGUUUUCUUGUAAUCGCAACCACUAAUCACCAAUUAUUUUCCAUUUCGAAAGAAAAUCACAAUGAAAAUAUGAGUGCAAUGUUUUCUGAAUUUACAGUGCUAAUUCUUGAGAUACUAUUUUCUAUGAAUAAGUAAGAUAAAGUUGAAUCAAAAGUUUAAAUAAAAUUCAAUUAUUUAAUAGGAGUAUACAAAAUUUAUAAAAUCUAGUAUUCAUGAAUAUAUAAUUAUUUCUCAAUCGUCAAAACUAUUGGUAUCCAUAUAAAUAGCUACAGUAUCAAAUUAUAUAAGUGGAUAGGAAGACAUUG
rnacentral:lncRNA from 1 species